GGGUGAGUAAUACAUCGGAACGUGUCCGCUCGUGGGGGACAACCAGCCGAAAGGUUGGCUAAUACCGCAUGAGUUCUACGGAAGAAAGAGGGGGACCCGCAAGGGCCUCUCGCGAGCGGAGCGGCCGAUGACUGAUUAGCCGGUUGGUGAGGUAACGGCUCACCAAAGCAACGAUCAGUAGCUGGUCUGAGAGGACGACCAGCCACACUGGGACUGAGACACGGCCCAGACUCCUACGGGAGGCAGCAGUGGGGAAUUUUGGACAAUGGGCGCAAGCCUGAUCCAGCUAUUCCGCGUGUGGGAUGAAGGCCCUCGGGUUGUAAACCACUUUUGUAGAGAACGAAAAGACACCUUCGAAUAAAGGGUGUUGCUGACGGUACUCUAAGAAUAAGCACCGGCUAACUACGUGCCAGCAGCCGCGGUAAUACGUAGGGUGCGAGCGUUAAUCGGAAUUACUGGGCGUAAAGGGUGCGCAGGCGGUUGAGUAAGACAGAUGUGAAAUCCCCGAGCUUAACUCGGGAAUGGCAUAUGUGACUGCUCGACUAGAGUGAGUCAGAGGGAGGUGGAAUUCCACGUGUAGCAGUGAAAUGCGUAGAUAUGUGGAAGAACACCGAUGGCGAAGGCAGCCUCCUGGGACAUAACUGACGCUCAGGCACGAAAGCGUGGGGAGCAAACAGGAUUAGAUACCCUGGUAGUCCACGCCCUAAACGAU
rnacentral:rRNA from 1 species